rnacentral:rRNA from 1 species
GAUGAACGCUGGCGGCGUGCCUAAUACAUGCAAGUCGAGCGAACAGACGAGGAGCUUGCUCCUCUGACGUUAGCGGCGGACGGGUGAGUAACACGUGGAUAACCUACCUAUAAGACUGGGAUAACUUCGGGAAACCGGAGCUAAUACCGGAUAAUAUAUUGAACCGCAUGGUUCAAUAGUGAAAGACGGUUUUGCUGUCACUUAUAGAUGGAUCCGCGCCGCAUUAGCUAGUUGGUCAGGUAACGGCUUAGCAAGGCAACGAUGCGUAGCCGACCUGAGAGGGUGAUCGGCCACACUGGAACUGAGACACGGUCCAGACUCCUACGGGAGGCAGCAGUAGGGAAUCUUCCGCAAAGGGCGAAAGCUUGACGGAGCAACGCCGCGUGAGUGAUGAAGGUCUUCGGAUCGUAAAACUCUGUUAUUAGGGAAGAACAAAUGUGUAAGUAACUAUGCACGUCUUGACGGUAACUAAUCAGAAAGCCACGGCUAACUACGUG